UACGGAGGGUGCAAGCAUUAAUCGGAUUUAUUGGGCGUAAAGGGCGCGUAGGCGGGUUUGUAAGUCAGAUGUGAAAGCCCGGGGCUCAACCCCGGAACAGCAUUUGAUACUGCGAACCUAGAGGGUAGGCGGAGAAAAUGGAAUUCCACAAGUAGCGGUGAAAUGCGUAGAUAUGUGGAAGAACACCGGUGGCGAAGGCGAUUUUCUAGCUUAUACCUGACGCUGAGGCGCGAAAGCAAGGGGAUCAAACAGG
rnacentral:rRNA from 1 species